rnacentral:rRNA from 1 species
ACGGGUGAGGAAUACAUGGGAAUCUACCUUUUUGUGGGGGAUAACGUAGGGAAACUUACGCUAAUACCGCAUGAGACCGGAAGGUGAAAGCGGCGGACCGCAAGGCGUCGCGCGAGAAGAUGAGCCCAUGUCGGAUUAGCUAGUUGGUGAGGUAAAGGCUCACCAAGGCGACGAUCCGUAGCUGGUCUGAGAGGAUGAUCAGCCACACUGGAACUGAGACACGGUCCAGACUCCUACGGGAGGCAGCAGUGGGGAAUAUUGGACAAUGGGCGCAAGCCUGAUCCAGCCAUGCCGCGUGGGUGAAGAAGGCCUUCGGGUUGUAAAGCCCUUUUGUCCGGAACGAAAAGCCAUCGGUUAAUACCCGGUGGUGCUGACGGUACCGGAAGAAUAAGCACCGGCUAACUUCGUGCCAGCAGCCGCGGUAAUACGAAGGGUGCAAGCGUUACUCGGAAUCACUGGGCGUAAAGCGUGCGUAGGCGGUUUCUUAAGUCUGUCGUGAAAGCCCUGGGCUCAACCUGGGAACGGCGAUGGAUACUGGGAAGCUAGAAUGUGAGAGAGGAUGGUGGAAUUCCCGGUGUAGCGGUGAAA